GAUGAACGCUAGCUACAGGCUUAACACAUGCAAGUCGAGGGGUAACGAGAGGAAAGCUUGCUUUCCUUGUCGACGACCGGCGCACGGGUGAGUAACGCGUAUCCAACCUGCCCCCAACUAGGGAAUAACCUUGCGAAAGUAAGACUAAUACCCUAUAAUUUCCUCAGAUGUCAUCUGACGAGGAAUAAAGAUUUAUCGGUUGUGGAUGGGGAUGCGUCUGAUUAGCUUGUUGGCGGGGUAACGGCCCACCAAGGCAACGAUCAGUAGGGGUUCUGAGAGGAAGGUCCCCCACAUUGGAACUGAGACACGAGCCAAACUCCUACGGGAGGCAGCAGUGAGGAAUAUUGGUCAAUGGGCGGAAGCCUGAACCAGCCAAGUAGCGUGCAGGAUGACGGCCCUAUGGGUUGUAAACUGCUUUUAUACAGGAAUAAAGUUAGCCACGUGUGGUUAUUUGUAGGUACUGUAUGAAUAAGGACCGGCUAAUUCCGUGCCAGCCGCCGCUGUAA
rnacentral:rRNA from 1 species